rnacentral:rRNA from 1 species
UACGUAGGGUGCAAGCGUUGUCCGGAAUUAUUGGGCGUAAAGAGCUCGUAGGCGGUCUGUCGCGUCUGCUGUGAAAACUCGGGGCUUAACCCCGGGCCUGCAGUGGGUACGGGCAGACUAGAGUGCGGUAGGGGAGACUGGAAUUCCUGGUGUAGCGGUGAAAUGCGCAGAUAUCAGGAGGAACACCGGUGGCGAAGGCGGCAUCCUGGACCAACACUGACGCUGAGGAGCGAAAGCCAGGGGAGCAAACGGG